rnacentral:misc_RNA from 1 species
CUGAAUGGUCUUCAUUUUAAGGCCUUUCCACCCUUCAAACCUGUGGAAGCAACAUGUGCUUCGGUGUCCCCUGGGCACCGCUUUUAUGCUGGAAUCAGUCUUGUGUGUCUGAAUCUCAAUUAAAAGAAUCA